rnacentral:misc_RNA from 1 species
AAACAACAAAAUCGCCAAUGGAAUUGCACUAUUCCUUAGAACAGUGAAUUGUUUUAAUAUAUAUAUAUAUAUAUCACAUAGCUGACUUUGGUCACCAUAAUAAUAGCCUAUACUAGCUUAUCUAACAAACAUAACAAGCAACUAUCAUCAAUUAACAACUUCAAACUCGGCAUGUAAAUCUUGACAUUCCCAACAUAACUUGGCUCUUUGAUUUGGACUAGAGAAGCUUGAUUCAUAAGUUAAGGACCUUCUACUAUGAUAUGCUGCAGCUCCAGCUAUCGCUUCUCCACACAGAAGAUGAAAAUAUUCAUUCAUGAAACCACUACAGAACAGUAACUCAUCUCACCAAACAGUUUAUUGGCCCAUGAGCUCCUAACUGCUGCAGCUCCUAACUACUAUGAUAUGCUGCAGCUCCUAACUGCUGCAAGCAUGCAUCUACCUACUCAUCGUGCAAGCAAACUCUAUCUUCUUCCAGUCGUUCAUGAAAACUGUCCUCUUUGUCCUCGGAAGCAAGUUUCAUCUCUUCAAAGAGAUUGCAUGAUGUGGUCCAAAGUUUCUCCGCAAGCCUGAUAUCAUGUGAAAGUGCAGAAGAGUUCAGAGUCCUGCCCUUUCCACCAAAAAAGUAUACCCCAGAUGUUUCUGGUGGUGCAAGGGCAGCAUCAAGAAUAGAGCUAACCCCAUUAUUAGGUGACUGCAAAAGGCCGAGAAGUUUCAAUAGUACAAAUGUCACAUGUGAAAGACAAGAAGGAAUUUCUCUCAUGAUAUUGGUUUGCACUGCCCCAGGAUCUGCAGCACUGAAAUAUGCAACAAAACCGAAAGCAAAUUGAACAUGUGAGACUGAAACAAACACCAAUAUAACAUCCUUCCUGGGAUGAAAUGUUAUAGUUAGUAACAAUAUCACUGAAAUGAAGAAGUUUCCAAAAUGUUAAGAGUAGAUAUUUCCUUGAGAGAAAAUUAUUUAACCAUGCAUAAGAGCAUCUGCAAGUAGUUAGUAUGGAUUAUACAUACAAAUAUAUAAAUCAACUGGUGCAAAAAUCCCAAAAGAUAUUAAGGAUAAAAUCAGUGAUUUCAUUCAAAAAAUAGGUGACAACCGAAUCAAUGAAUAACUUUUACUUAAGUUUGUGAACACUGACUCAUAAAUUAACCAAGAAAAACAUUAAGGUCAUAAAAUACGUACUUGACAGAGACUCGACAAGAUUUAUCCAUCAAGUGCAGUUGCCGAUGAAGCUGGUAUGAGAACAGCAGUAUGCAUACUACCAACACCAGAGUGUGUGAUUAUUAGAAAUGGUAUAAUAUCUUAGCAAAUUAUGUGACAGCUAUGGCUUACAUUUGGAAUGCUCAUAGAUAUGAGCAUAUGGAUAUAGUUUCGAUUUAGAGAAGCACUUCCCAGCAACAGUUUCCUUGUCAACCUGCAUGGAAAAUACACUUCGAUGUGUAAAGGAUGUAACAUUCACUAUCCGUGAACCAACAGGGCUGUUUCUCAGAAGUGGCAAUAGAAAUUUGGUCAGAGAGAAUGCACCGAUGUAAUUUGCAGCCAUCAUCUGAUCAUAGCCUUCAACAGUGGGACGAUGUGAUGUUGCCAAUAUCCCAGUAUUGUUUAUCAGGAGUUGGAUGGAAGAAUGCAUAAAGGAAUCCAAGAGCCACUUCUCCAGUGAGCUUUUGAACUUUAAGAUUGACUGGAAAGAUGAUAUGUCAACCUCAAAAACUUUGAGCUGGGCAUCCUCAUUCUGUUUUUUUAUCCUCUCCACAGUCUCACGUAACAAUUUAGAUGACCGUCCAACAAGAACAAUAAAAAAACCUUCUUUUGAAAGAGCAUAUGCAGCAGCCGCACCUAGACCAGAUGUAGCACCAGUAAUGAUGCAAAGGGGUCUGCUGGGCCCAUUUCUUGGAGGAAGGCAAUGGGGAUAGGCAUCAGAACUCUGCCUAAAUGCCCUUUGGAAAAACAAUUGCAAAUAUGAGGCAAGGAGAGAGAUUGUCCAAAACACGGCCAUCCUCCAAAAUUCCACCGAGUACAUGAAAUGCAGAGGCUGCGCCAGUUCCCUCAUCACUAUCUUCAUUCUCAUCGUCCUAAGCAUAAAUGAUGACUUUGCUAUAAGGUAUGUAUCUUGGACUUUGGGCUGACUAACCUGAAUAAGAUUUCUCAGCAAAAUAAUUCUCAUCGCCUCCGAAAUACCCACUCCUAUUCUUCCACUGAUUUCCCUGCAAUAGACCCACCAACCCAAUUGCCAUUUUCUACCAAAUCUUGACUGCACAUUCAUCCGCACACGCCAAGCAGACAGAGUUACCAAAGGCACAAAAACCCAAGCGAUCAUAGGUGAGGUGAUCUCAAAUCGAAUAGCAGGUGCCAGAAGCGGUGGAAGAGCCCACAAUCCUACAAGAGGAAUAACUAACCAAGGUAGCAUAGUGGAAACCCGGCGAGACCACUUCUGCAUCACAAAGAGUAUACACAUUGCCAAUUCUUUGUAAUUGUCUAUAAAGACUAAACCACUUGCAAAAUCAAUGUAGACUUAUCAUUCAAUCAAAUGUAUGAGAGCGAAGAUAAAGAAGAAUACACAGAUGAUUGCACUGAUUCAUGGCAGAGAUGAGCAAGAAGCAGAGAGGAUUGGAGAAUACUGAGCGUUAGGAAGAUUAGGACACAAGGAGCUUUGGGGUAGGUGGGGAUACCGAUAGAGUGAAAGGGUUGGAAGUAUUGAAGGGUAUUUAAUCGUGAAUGGUUUUUUUUAGUCUUUUCAGGUAAAACUAAUGGCUAAAAUCUUUUUUUUUUUUUUCUCAUAAUCACAGUAAGUGCUCGUUAAACAUUCACUACACGCAAAAUCCAUCCAAUCUUGAGCUAGAAAUUCAUAACUUCCACGGCCACAACGUAGUUAUGGAAGUCUCAGCCAUAGAA